rnacentral:rRNA from 1 species
GUACACUCCUACGGGAGGCAGCAGUGGGGAAUUUUGGACAAUGGGCGAAAGCCUGAUCCAGCAAUGCCGCGUGUGUGAAGAAGGCCUUCGGGUUGUAAAGCACUUUUGUCCGGAAAGAAAUCCUUGGCUCUAAUACAGUCGGGGGAUGACGGUACCGGAAGAAUAAGCACCGGCUAACUACGUGCCAGCAGCCGCGGUAAUACGUAGGGUGCGAGCGUUAAUCGGAAUUACUGGGCGUAAAGCGUGCGCAGGCGGUUUGCUAAGACCGAUGUGAAAUCCCCGGGCUCAACCUGGGAACUGCAUUGGUGACUGGCAGGCUAGAGGAUGGCAGAGGGGGGUAGAAUGCCACGUGUAGCAGUGAAAUGCGUAGAGAUGUGGAGGAAUACCGAUGGCGAAGGCAGCCCCCUGGGCCAAUACUGACGCUCAUGCACGAAAGCGUGGGGAGCAAACAGGAUUAGAAACCCUAGUAGUCCCAUGAU